GAUGAACGCUAGCGGCAGGCCUAAUACAUGCAAGUCGAGGGGUAUGGGUUGCUUGCAACCCAGAGACCGGCGCACGGGUGCGUAACGCGUAUGCAAUCUACCUUAAUCAGGGGGAUAGCCCGGAGUAAUCCGGAUUAACACCGCAUAACAUUGAGUUGUGGCAUCACAGUUCAAUCAAAUAUUUAUAGGAUUAAGAUGAGCAUGCGUGACAUUAGUUAGUUGGUGAGGUAACGGCUCACCAAGACCACGAUGUCUAGGGGAUCUGAGAGGAUGACCCCCCACACUGGUACUGAGACACGGACCAGACUCCUACGGGAGGCAGCAGUAAGGAAUAUUGGUCAAUGGGCGCAAGCCUGAACCAGCCAUGCCGCGUGCAGGAAGACGGCCCUAUGGGUCGUAAACUGCUUUUGUACCGGAAUAAACCUUCUCUUGCGAGAGAAGCUGAACGUACGGUAAGAAUAAGGAUCGGCUAACUCCGUG
rnacentral:rRNA from 1 species